AUCGCUUCUCGGCCUUUUGGCUAAGAUCAAGUGUAGUAUCAACCAUCUUCACUGAGAAAACUCAA
rnacentral:snRNA from 1 species